GUGCUCACUUAGGCAGCACAUAUACUAUAAUUGGAACAAUAAAGAGAUUAGCAUAUCCCCUAUGCAAGGAUGACACACAGAUUUAUGAAGUGUUCCAUAUUUUA
ensembl:snRNA U6 U6 spliceosomal RNA